rnacentral:rRNA from 1 species
CAGUCGAACGAAGCACUUUAUUUGAUUUCCUUCGGGAUUGAUUAUUUUGUGACUGAGUGGCGGACGGGUGAGUAACGCGUGGGUAACCUGCCUUGUACAGGGGGAUAACAGUUGGAAACGGCUGCUAAUACCGCAUAAGCGCACAACAUCGCAUGAUGCAGUGUGAAAAACUCCGGUGGUAUAAGAUGGACCCGCGUUGGAUUAGCUAGUUGGUGAGGUAACGGCCCACCAAGGCGACGAUCCAUAGCCGACCUGAGAGGGUGACCGGCCACAUUGGGACUGAGACACGGCCCAAACUCCUACGGGAGGCAGCAGUGGGGAAUAUUGCACAAUGGGCGAAAGCCUGAUGCAGCGACGCCGCGUGAGCGAAGAAGUAUUUCGGUAUGUAAAGCUCUAUCAGCAGGGAAGAUAAUGACGGUACCUGACUAAGAAGCACCGGCUAAAUACAUGCCAGCAGCCGCGGUAAUACGUAUGGUGCAAGCGUUAUCCGGAUUUACUGGGUGUAAAGGGAGCGCAGGCGGUGCGGCAAGUCUGAUGUGAAAGCCCGGGGCUCAACCCCGGUACUGCAUUGGAAACUGUCGUACUAGAGUGUCGGAGGGGUAAGCGGAAUUCCUAGUGUAGCGGUGAAAUGCGUAGAUAUUAGGAGGAACACCAGUGGCGAAGGCGGCUU